GCUGCAUGGGGUAGAGAUACCCCUUUCUUCGGACUGCCUGCAAGGUGCUGCAUGGUUGUCGUCAGCUCGUGCCGUGAGGUGUCAGGUUAAGUCCUAUAACGAGCGCAACCCCUACCGUUAGUUGCCAGCAUGUCAAGAUGGGGACUCUAACGGGACUGCCGGUGCAAACCGUGAGGAAGGUGGGGACGACGUCAAAUCAUCACGGCCCUUACGUCCUGGGCUACACACGUGCUACAAUGGCCGGUACAGAGGGAAGCCACCCCGCAAGGGGGCGCGGAUCUACAAAACCGGUCACAGUUCGGAUCGGGGUCUGCAACUCGACCCCGUGAAGCUGGAAUCGCUAGUAAUCGGAUACCAGCCACGAUCCGGUGAAUACGUUCCCGGGCCUUGUACACACCGCCCGUCAAGCCAUGGAAGCCGGGAGUGCCUGAAGUCCGUCACCGCGAGGAGCGGCCUAGGGCAAAAUCGGUAACUAGGGCUAAGUCGUAACAAGGUAGCCGUAAAGGGCGAA
rnacentral:rRNA from 1 species